AAUUCGAUUUUGGAGGGCAAGUCUGGUGCCAGCAGCCGCGGUAAUUCCAGCUCCAAUAGCGUAUAUUAAAGUUGUUGCAGUUAAAAAGCUCGUAGUUGAAUUUCGGGAUUAAUUUAUUGGUCGUGCAAUAGUACGUACUGGUAUUAUUGAUUCCUACCUUCUGACGAACCAUAAUGUCAUUAAUUUGGUGUCAUGGGGAAUCAGGACUGUUACUUUGAAAAAAUUAGAGUGUUUAAAGCAGGCUCACGCUUGAAUACACUAGCAUGGAAUAACGAAAUAGGACGUUUGAUUCUAUUCUGUUGGUUUCUAGGAUCGACGUAAUGAUUAAUAGGGAUAGUUGGGGGCAUUAGUAUUCAAUUGUCAGAGGUGAAAUUCUUGGAUUUAUUGAAGACUAACUACUGCGAAAGCAUUUGCCAAGGAUGUUUUCAUUAAUCAAGAACGAAAGUUAGGGGAUCGAAGACGAUCAGAUACCGUCGUAGUCUUAACCAUAAACUAUGCCGACUAGGGAUCGGAUGAUGUUAAUUUUUUAAUGACUCAUUCGGCGCCUUACGGGAAACAAUCACUAGUG
rnacentral:rRNA from 1 species